rnacentral:rRNA from 1 species
UACGUAGGUGGCAAGCGUUAUCCGGAAUUAUUGGGCGUAAAGCGCGCGUAGGCGGUUUUUUAAGUCUGAUGUGAAAGCCCACGGCUCAACCGUGGAGGGUCAUUGGAAACUGGAAAACUUGAGUGCAGAAGAGGAAAGUGGAAUUCCAUGUGUAGCGGUGAAAUGCGCAGAGAUAUGGAGGAACACCAGUGGCGAAGGCGACUUUCUGGUCUGUAACUGACGCUGAUGUGCGAAAGCGUGGGGAUCAAACAGGAU